rnacentral:rRNA from 1 species
UACGAAGGGGGCUAGCGUUGCUCGGAAUCACUGGGCUUAAAGGGCGCGUAGGCGGGUCAUCAAGUCCGGGGUGAAAUCCCACGGCCCAACCGUGGAAGUGCCUUGGAUACUGAAGACCUCGAGGGGGAUAGGGGCGUGCGGAACUCAGGGUGGAGCGGUGAAAUGCGUAGAUAUCCUGAGGAACACCGGUGGCGAAAGCGGCGCGCUGGAUCCCUUCUGACGCUGAGGCGCGAAAGCCAGGGGAGCAAACGGG